rnacentral:rRNA from 1 species
AAUUUAGAGGAAGGAGAAGUCG